UAUUAUAUUAUAAAACAUAUUAUUUUAUUUUGGUUAAUAUUUUUAUUAUUAUUUUAUUUUACAUGUAAAUUUUUGUGUGAAUUUAUUUAAUUUUUAAAAAAUUAUUUAGUUUAUUUAUUCGCAGUGAUUAAUAUUAAUAUAAAAAAGAAAUUUUGUAUUAGUAAUAAUAUAUAGUAUUUGUAAAAUUUGUGCCAGCUACCGCGGUUAUACAAAUAAUACAAAUAAAAAUUUUUAGUAUUAGUUAAAUUAAUCAAAUUUUAAUAUAAAUAUAAAUUUAUUAGGUGAAAUUUUUAAAUUUAUUUAUUAUUAAUUUAAAAAAUAAUUUAAGCUAUAAACUUUUUAUAAUAAACUAGGAUUAGAUACCCUAUUAUUAAAAAUAAAUAUGAGCAUACUAAAGUAGUAUUAGUUAUAUUCUUAAAAUUUAAAAAAUUUGGCGGUAUUUUAGUCUAUUCAGAGGAAUCUGUCCUGUAAUUGAUAGUCCACAUUGAACCUUACUUAAAUUUGUUUAAUUUGUAUAUCGCCGUCAUCAGAAUAUAUUAUAAGAUAAAAUUUUCUUAAUAUUUAAUAAAAUAAUAUGUCAGGUCAAGGUGCAGUUUAUGUUUAAGUAGAGAUGGAUUACAAUAAAUUUAUUUAAUAUGGAUAAUUUUUUGAAAUAAAGAUUUGAAAGUGGAUUUGAAAGUAAUAUAAAAUAGAUUAUUUAUAUGAUUUUAGUUCUAAAAUAUGCACAUAUCGCCCAUCGUUCUUAUUUUUAAAAUAAGAUAAGUUGUAACAUAGUAGAUGUACUGGAAAGUGUAUCUAGAAAGA
rnacentral:ncRNA from 1 species